CUUUUACAAAACCUUAGCCGCCAUCCCUCUCUAAACAAAUCUCAAGAAUCAUAACUUCCCUUCUCCAUUCAUUCACCUCAAAUCCGUAUCAAUCUGAGAUCGUUCUCUUCAUUUCGUCGGUCCUUAUCACCCUCGAUUAACAUCACGUUUUGAUUAUGAAAUUGACCCGUCGACUGCUCGUGCUUCGGAGUCUAUGCAGGGUUAGCUGUUUGCCAAGAUUCACGUGGAUAAGCAAGCAGUGAGUUUGUAGUGCUAUUUACCGCUUUAUUAAGUACCGCAUCAUAUUUUAGUAUUAUAAAUGCUUUUAAUUGUUUUAAGCGAUUAUGGAUCUGGAUUGAAACGAGCUACUCGAUAGGCUUGUAUCGAGACUGUGUGCACCAGUAUAUACUCUGGGAUCGGCAGACUAUGGUCUUGCUUACGCUGGUAAAUUGACGAGGAUUUGUUCCCGUCCACUCUGGGUUUAUGUUUCAGUAUGCUAUGUCAUACUUACGCUGGGAUCUUUUCAAUACUGUUUUCCAUAAUCAUACUAUAUUAGUAUAAACUGUUUUGAUUUAAGGGUUUUAAACUUAAUAAAUGUAAAUAGUAUUGCGAACUCAUCUCAGUAUAUCUGACC